rnacentral:rRNA from 1 species
UGGUGGAUGCCUUGGCGCAUAGAGGCGAUGAAGGACGUGGUAGGCUGCGAGAAGCCAUGGGGAGCUGCCAACAAGCAUUGAUCCGUGGAUAUCCGAAUGGGGCAACCCGGCCCGUUAGGGUCAUCGUCGUCUGAAUUGAUAGGACGGCGAAGCGAACCCGGCGAACUGAAACAUCUCAGUAGCCGGAGGAAAGGACAUCAACCG